rfam:Coniochaeta ligniaria NRRL 30616 unplaced genomic scaffold CONLIGscaffold_6, whole genome shotgun sequence.
GGACAGAUGGCCGAGCGGUCUAAGGCGCUACGUUCAGGUAACCGGUGAUCCCUCCAGGACCACCACCACCCGCUUCGUAGUCUCGCAAGAGGCGUGGGUUCGAAUCCCACUCUGUUCA